rnacentral:snRNA from 1 species
UUGCUUUGGUAGCAGAGAUAGUAAAAUUGAGAUGAUAUGGAGAUCAACACAAGGAUGACACGUACAUUUCUGAUGUGUUCCAUUUUUUU